rnacentral:rRNA from 1 species
GACGAACGCUGGCGGCGUGCUUAACACAUGCAAGUCGAACGGAAAGGCCCUGCUUGCAGGGUACUCGAGUGGCGAACGGGUGAGUAACACGUGGGUGAUCUGCCCUGCACUUCGGGAUAAGCCUGGGAAACUGGGUCUAAUACCGGAUAGGAGCCAUUUUUAGUGUGAUGGUUGGAAAGUUUUUUCGGUGUAGGAUGAGCUCGCGGCCUAUCAGCUUGUUGGUGGGGUAAUGGCCUACCAAGGCGGCGACGGGUAGCCGGCCUGAGAGGGUGGACGGCCACAUUGGGACUGAGAGACGGCCCAGACUCCUACGGGAGGCAGCAGUGGGGAAUAUUGCACAAUGGGCGCAAGCCUGAUGCAGCGACGCCGCGUGGGGGAUGACGGCCUUCGGGUUGUAAACUCCGUUCGCUAGGGACGAAGCUUUUUGUGACGGUACCUAGAUAAGAAGCACCGGCUAACUACGUG